UUUUAUAUAAUUUGUAUUUUAACAUAGUGACCUGGUACUUCACACUCAAGUUUGAUGACAAACCAGUCUGUGUGAUGUUUUAUAUAAGUUGUAUUUUAACAUAGUGACCUGGUACUUCACACUUAAGUUUGAUGACAAGCCAAUCUGUGUGAUGUUUUAUAUAAGUAGUAUUUUAACA